AGCAGUAGCCGCGGUAACACGGAGGGGGCUAGCGUUGUUCGGAAUUACUGGGCGUAAAGCGUGCGUAGGCGGCUUUGUAAGUUAGAGGUGAAAGCCCAGGGCUCAACCCUGGAAUUGCCUUUAAGACUGCAUCGCUUGAACGUCGGAGAGGUGAGUGGAAUUCCGAGUGUAGAGGUGAAAUUCGUAGAUAUUCGGAAGAACACCAGUGGCGAAGGCGACUCACUGGACGACUAUUGACGCUGAGGCACGAAAGCGUGGGGAGCAAACAGGAUUAGAUACCCGUGUAGUCCUGUCUCUUAUACA
rnacentral:rRNA from 1 species